UACGUAGGGGGCAAGCGUUGUCCGGAUUUACUGGGCGUAAAGAGCGCGUAGGCGGAAAUUUAAGCGUGGCCUGAAAGCCCCCGGCUCAACCGGGGAGUGCGGCUGCGAACUGGGUUUCUUGAGGACGAUAGAGGAGAGUGGAAUUCCUGGUGUAGCGGUGAAAUGCGUAGAUAUCUGGAGGAACACCGGUGGCGAAGGCGGCAUUCUGGACCGACAUUGACGCUGAGGAGCGAAAGCCAGGGGAGCAAACGGG
rnacentral:rRNA from 1 species